GUUCUUUUAUACAGUCUGUUGAUGCUUACAUGAAUAUCCUUAUGCAACAACACGUAGACCAGCAACCUACGUUCAUAUUGGAAACACAACCAGCCAAGUCUUUUGUGUUUCCCAGCUUUUUUGUGUCAAUCCUCAAUGACAAACAACCAAUCAAAGUGAAGAAGAUUCUUGAUAAGAUGAUGCCAAAGGCCGUAUAUGCAACUUUCCUGCUUUUCCCCAUAACUCAUCAAUUCCAUUGGACAUUGCUGGUGCUUCAUAAAGAUGAGGGAAAGUGGAUAUUCUACAAUUCUUUGUUUAAAGGGAAUCGAAAAGAUUUUUACUGUGAGACAACAAAUAAUUUGGUGAGCAAACAUCUAUCAUCUUUUUUCUGUUACACAUUUAUGUUUUGAAUGCUAAACAUGUUUACAUAAACUACACAAAGAAAACUUGUUGCAGACUAUAUCAAUAGUCAUUCCAAAUCAAAUGCUGGUAAAGUUAUUGGUAACACAGUCCACAUUGAGCAGUUUUCUCCGCAACAACCGGUUGGAUUUGUUGAGUGUGGGGUCGUCGUUAUCUUCUUGAUGAAGCAAUAUUUGAUGAACCAAGAACGGAGCAAAGUAAUAAGUAUUGAGGAAUGUAGGAAAACAAGAGCCGAGAUGAUACUUGCUUUUUUGAGUGACCAAAGCAAGUCGAGCACUUUAAAGGUUCCACAACCAAUGCAAAACCUCAAGCAAAUUGCAGAAUCUUCAAAGGCUCUGAAACCAGAGUUCAAGCAUUAUCAACUUAGGGUGA